rnacentral:rRNA from 1 species
AUUGAACGCUGGCGGCAGGCCUAACACAUGCAAGUCGAGCGGUAGAGAGGUGCUUGCAUCUCUUGAGAGCGGCGGACGGGUGAGUAAUGCCUAGGAAUCUGCCUAGUGGUGGGGGAUAACGUUCGGAAACGGACGCUAAUACCGCAUACGUCCUACGGGAGAAAGCGGGGGAUCUUCGGACCUCGCGCCAUUAGAUGAGCCUAGGUCGGAUUAGCUAGUUGGUGAGGUAAUGGCUCACCAAGGCGACGAUCCGUAACUGGUCUGAGAGGAUGAUCAGUCACACUGGAACUGAGACACGGUCCAGACUCCUACGGGAGGCAGCAGUGGGGAAUAUUGGACAAUGGGCGAAAGACCUGAUCCAGCCAUGCCGCGUGAGUGAUGAAGG